CUUGGGUUGUAAACCCCUUUUCUCAGGGAAGAAAAAAAUGACGGUACCUGAGGAAUAAGCAUCGGCUAACUCCGUGCCAGCAGCCGCGGUAAUACGGAGGAUGCAAGCGUUAUCCGGAAUGAUUGGGCGUAAAGCGUCUGUAGGUGGUUUGGCAAGUCUGCCGUUAAAGGUCGGGGCUCAACUCCGAAAAGGCGGUGGAAACUGCCAGACUAGAGUGUGGUAGGGGUAGAGGGAAUUCCCGGUGUAGCGGUGAAAUGCGUAGAUAUCGGGAAGAACACCGGUGGCGAAGGCGCUCUACUGGGCCACAACUGACACUGAGGGACGAAAGCUAGGGG
rnacentral:rRNA from 1 species